GCCGGAGUGGCGGAACUGGCAGACGCAGUGGACUCAAAAUCCACCGGUCUUCGCGGCCGUGUGGGUUCGAAUCCCACCUCCGGCACCA
rnacentral:tRNA from 1 species